rnacentral:rRNA from 1 species
UACGUAGGUGGCAAGCGUUGUCCGGAUUUACUGGGCGUAAAGAGCGCGCAGGCGGUCGUCCAAGUCGCGUGUGAAAGCCCCCGGCUCAACUGGGGAGGGUCACGCGAUACUGGUCGACUCGAAGGCAGGAGAGGGUAGUGGAAUUCCCGGUGUAGUGGUGAAAUGCGUAGAUAUCGGGAGGAACACCAGUGGCGAAGGCGAGUCCCUGGACAGAAACUGACGCUGAGGCGCGAAAGCUAGGGGAGCAAACAGG